AGCUUUGCGCAGUGGCAGUAUCGUAGCCAAUGAGGUUUAUCCAAGGCGCGAUUAUUGCUAAUUGAAACGUGGACUUGCAGGACAAAAAGCCUGUGACGUGCUUAUUUCAGAUGACACAUAGUACAGACUUGUGUGGUCUGCAAAAGAAAUGGAAUCUGCUAUUUACACUGCUGGGUCUCUAAUUAUUGCCUUUUACUCCAAAAA
rnacentral:snRNA from 1 species